CGGUGUUCAACUGGCGUGUCCGCGGGACGUCCUGCCGGUGGGCUUAGCCCGCAAGGGCGACCCAACUUCAAAUCCCAUCGCGGUGCUCUUCACUGAGUGUCGAGGUGGGCCGGCACGUUUACUUUGAACAAAUUAGAGUGCUUAAAGCAGGCUAAAACUUCGUCUGAAUACUGUGUGCAUGGAAUAAUGGAAUAGGACCUCGGUUCUAUUUUGUUGGUUUUCGGAACCCCGAGGUAAUGAUUAAUAGGAACGGAUGGGGGCAUUCGUAUUGCGACGUUAGAGGUGAAAUUCUUGGAUCGUCGCAAGACGGACAGAAGCGAAAGCAUUUGCCAAAAACGCUUUCAUUGAUCAAGAACGAAAGUUAGAGGUUCGAAGGCGAUCAGAUACCGCCCUAGUUCUAACCAUAAACGAUGCCAGCUAGCGAUCCGUCGACGUUCCUCCGAUGACUCGACGGGCAGCUUCCGGGAAACCAAAGCUUUUGGGUUCCGGGGGAAGUAUGGUUGCAAAGCUGAAACUUAAAGGAAUUGACGGAAGGGCACCACCAGGAGUGGAGCCUGCGGCUUAAUUUGACUCAACACGGGAAACCUCACCAGGCCCGGACACCGGAAGGAUUGACAGAUUGAGAGCUCUUUCUUGAUUCGGUGGGUGGUGGUGCAUGGCCCGUUCUUAGUUGGUGGAGCGAUUUGUCUGGUUAAUUCCGAUAACGAACGAGACUCUAGCCUGCUAACUAGGCGUAUUUUCGACAUCUCAAAGGUCCGUCGUCCCGGCCCUCGGGUCGUGGGCGUGCGCGAUUUUUACUGUCGGCGUACUAUCAAUUCUUCUUAGAGGGACAGGUGGCUUCUAGCCGCACGAGAUUGAGCAAUAACAGGUCUGUGAUG
rnacentral:rRNA from 1 species